rnacentral:rRNA from 1 species
GAUGAACGCUGGCGGCGUGCCUAAUACAUGCAAGUCGAGCGAACAGACGAGGAGCUUGCUCCUCUGACGUUAGCGGCGGACGGGUGAGUAACACGUGGAUAACCUACCUAUAAGACUGGGAUAACUUCGGGAAACCGGAGCUAAUACCGGAUAAUAUAUUGAACCGCAUGGUUCAAUAGUGAAAGACGGUUUUGCUGUCACUUAUAGAUGGAUCCGCGCCGCAUUAGCUAGUUGGUAAGGUAACGGCUUACCAAGGCAACGAUGCGUAGCCGACCUGAGAGGGUGAUCGGACACACUGGAACUGAGACACGGUCCAGACGCCGACGGGAGGCAGCAGUAGGGAAUCUUCCGCAAUGGGCGAAAGCCUGACGGAGCAACGCCGCGUGAGUGAUGAAGGUCUUCGGAUCGUAAAACUCUGUUAUUAGGGAAGAACAAAUGUGUAAGUAACUAUGCACGUCUUGACGGUACCUAAUCAGAAAGCCACGGCUAACUACGUG